rnacentral:rRNA from 1 species
ACAGUCACACAUUAGACUACCCGGUAGUCCUAGCCGUAAACGAUACUCGCUAGGUGUCGGCCACGGUGCGACCGUUGUCGGUGCCGUAGGGAAGCCGUGAAGCGAGCCACCUGGGAAGUACGGCCGCAAGGCUGAAACUUAAAGGAAUUGGCGGGGGAGCACAACAACGGGUGGAGCUUGCGGUUUAAUUGGAUUCAACGCCGGAAAUCUUACCGGGACCGACAGCAACAUGAAGGCCAGGCUGAAGACUUUGCCGGAUUAGCUG